rnacentral:lncRNA from 1 species
CAGGGUCCCCUAGGAGGAGAAAACAAGAUAGAACCCAGUGACUGGCCACCAUGGACACAUGCAAGGGAAAAGGAGAAGUCCCCAGUGGGAAAAGGUGACACGCCUGUCCCCCUUUGUCUUCUGCCAUGAGUGGAAACUUCCUGAGGCCUCACCAGAAGCUGAACAGAUGCUGGUACCAAACUUGUACAGCCUGCAGAACCACG